CAUUAAGAAGCUUCACGGAUAAGCACCAGCCUUUUAAGCUGUAACAAGGUGACUUCCAAUCACCCUUAAUGA
rnacentral:tRNA from 1 species